rnacentral:rRNA from 1 species
AGCGAACGCUGGCGGCAGGCUUAACACAUGCAAGUCGAGCGGGCACUCUCGGGUGUCAGCGGCGGACGGGUGAGUAACGCGUGGGAACGUGCCCUCUGGUUCGGAAUAACUCAGGGAAACUUGUGCUAAUACCGGAUACGCCCUUUUGGGGAAAGGCUUGCUGCCGGAGGAUCGGCCCGCGUCUGAUUAGCUAGUUGGUGAGGUAACGGCUCACCAAGGCGACGAUCAGGAGCUGGUCUGAGAGGAGGAUCAGCCACACUGGGACUGAGACACGGCCCAGACUCCUACGGGAGGCAGCAGUGGGGAAUAUAGGGCAAUGAGCGCAAGCCUGAUCCAGCCAUGCCGCGUGAGUGGUGAAGGCCUUAGGGUUGUAAAGCUCUUUUAUCCGGGACGAUAAUGACGGUACCGGAGGAAUAAGCCCCGGCUAACUUCGUG